AGAAACACUAGAUUAGCCAAUUUUUGGAUUAAAACUAUUGAUUUAUGGGUCCAUAGUGUAUCUAUGGUAUUUUAUUUUAAAAAAUUUUUAUUUAUUUAUUUAUUUUUGGUACCAGAGAUAGAACUCAGGGGCACUAGACCACUGAGCCACUUCCCCAACCCUAUUUGGUAUUUUAUUUAGAGACAGGGUCAAACUGAGUUGUUUAGUGCCUCACCUUUGGUGAGACUGGCUUUGAACCCAUGAACCUCCUGCCACAGCCUCCUGAGCUGCCAGGAUUAUAGGCAUGCACCACUGUGCCCAGCUUUAUGGUAUCUUAUAUAGAUUUGUAACUUUUUUGUUUGACCCAAGAGAAUAUAAUUACAUUAAUAUCAUUAUAAUAAAUUAUGUGAGAAAUGUAGUUUCAAUCUCGGUUAGCCCUCAGUCUUUUUCAAGAAAUAUGAAUUUUGGUCUCCUUUACUUAAAGGAAGAGAAAAUGAAAGACAAGAAUAUGAAAGACAAGUACAAUGGGAAAUAUAGUAUAGUUGAGUGUUUAGUGGGUUUAUUAGAGAACUUUUUAUUCUUUCUCAGUUUCUAAGAGCCCAUUAGUUCAGUAACCGAGCAAUUUCUUAGGGGGAGGAAUUAUAAGAAGGAUGACCCCUUUCCUUCCCUCAAUCCACACUAAUCUGCUUUUCAGAGAGUGCAUUAAGAUGACAGAUCUGGGCUGGGUUUGUGGCUCAGCAGUAGGCACUGGGUUUGAUCCUCAGCACCACAUAAAUUAAAUAAAUAAACCAAUUAAAGGCAUUGUGUCCAUUUACAACUAAAAAUAUAUUAAAAAAUAACAACGAAAAAGACUAACUUUAGAGAGUAUGCGUAAAGAGCCACUGCUUUCAGUGGUGUUUUGUAAGAAAUGAGAAAGGGUUGUCUGAAUGACAGCUCUUCAUCUAACUGUUGAAAAAUUGAUCUGCAAGGUUGUUCUAGCCUGACACAAAUCAGCAGAACUUCAGGUCCCCAGCAUGAUUCCUUCAACUUGGCCAAACUCAGUGGUCUCUUUGGGAGGGCCGUUAGGUCUCUCCAUUGCUCACUCAAAUCACAGGUCUAG
rnacentral:lncRNA from 1 species